rnacentral:rRNA from 1 species
CUACCAAGACAGUGACGGUUGACGGGGGAUUAGGGUUUGAUUCCGGAGAGGGAGCCUGAGAGAUGGCUACUACGUCCAAGGAUGGCAGCAGGCGCGAAACUUGCCUAAUCUUUUGUAGUAGGAGGCAGUGAUGAGACGUGGAUUGUGGUGCGUUGUAAAUAGACGUACUGGUAUUGGAGGGCAAGUCGGGUGCCAGCAGCCGCGGUAAUUCCUGCUCCAAUAGUGUCUGUGGUGAAUGCUGCAGUUAAAAAGUCCGUAGUUGUGAUGUGGGUGGUAUGUCCUCUUGUGCGUGUGUUUCUGGCGGGCUAUGGAUGUACCCUCUGUUGUUAGCAACGGAUGAGGGGCACUGGAUAGUUGGGCGAGAGGUGAAAUGUGAUGACCCUGACUGGACGGACGGAAGCGAAGGCUGUGCUCUGUGACGGAUGUGAUGAUCAAGGACGAAGGCUGGAGGAUCGAAAUCGAUUAGAUACCGUUUUAGUUCCAGCAGUAAAAGAUGCC